rnacentral:rRNA from 1 species
GACGAACGCUGGCGGCGCGCUUAACACAUGCAAGUCGAGCGAGAACCAGGGCUUCGGCCCUGGGGACAGCGGCGAACGGGUGAGUAACACGUGGGUAAUCCACCCUCGGCACCGGAAUAGCCCGGGGAAACCCGGAUUAAUGCCGGAUGGCCCGCCGGCCCUGCGGGGCCGGCGGAAAAGGUAGCUUCGGCCUCCGGCCGAGGACGAGCCCGCGACGGAUUAGCUUGUUGGUGGGGUAACGGCCUACCAAGGCUGCGAUCCGUAGCUGGUCUGGGAGGACGAUCAGCCACACUGGGGCUGAGACACGGCCCAGACUCCGACGGGAGGCAGCAGUGGGGAAUCUUGCGCAAUGGGCGAAAGCCUGACGCAGCGACGCCGCGUGAGGGAAGAAGGCCUUCGGGUUGUAAACCUCUUUCAGGAGGGACGAAGCCACUCGGGUUAAUAGCCCAGAGGGUGACGGUACCUCCAGAAGAAGCCCCGGCUAACUACGUGCCAGCCGCCGCGGUAAAAC